AAGAGAGAGACAGAGAAUGGCACCAUUCCCUAUAUAAUGCACUACUUUCUACCAGGGCCUCAUGUGCACUAUAUGGGGAAUACGGGUUCAUGGUAGGCAUCAAAACAAGCCAAUACAAAGUUAUAAAAUAGUGUACUAGUUCUAGGAAGAUGGAUAAAUGUAUCUGACCAGUAAUGUUACUGAAACAAGAUGAAGUAUCUAGAUCUAGAUCAGUGGUUAUCGCUGGGUACUGCAGGUGGUAUAUCUAGAUCAGUGGUUAUCGUUGGGUACUGCAGGUGGUAUAUCUAGAUCAGUGGUUAUCGUUGGGUACUGCAGGUGGUAUAUCUAGAUCAGUGGUUAUCGUUGGGUACUGCAGGUGGUAUAUCUAGAUCAGUGGUUAUCGCUGGGUACUGCAGGUGGUAUAUCUAGAUCAGUGGUUAUCGUUGGGUACUGCAGGUGGUAUAUCUAGAUCAGUGGUUAUCGUUGGGUACUGCAGGUGGUAUAUCUAGAUCAGUGGUUAUCGCUGGGUACUGCAGGUGGUAUAUCUAGAUCAGUGGUUAUCGUUGGGUAUUGCAGGUGGUAUAUCUAGAUCAGUGGUUAUCGUUGGGUAUUGCAGGUGGUAUAUCUAGAUCAGUGGUUAUCGCUGGGUACUGCAGGUGGUAUAUCUAGAUCAGUGGUUAUCGUUGGGUACUGCAGGUGGUAUAUCUAGAUCAGUGGUUAUCGUUGGGUACUGCAGGUGGUAUAUCUAGAUCAGUGGUUAUCGUUGGGUACUGCAGGUGGUAUAUCUAGAUCAGUAGUUGUCGUUGGGUACUGCAGGUGGUAUAUCUAGAUCAGUGGUUAUCGUUGGGUACUGCAGGUGGUAUAUCUAGAUCAGUGGUUAUCGUUGGGUAUUGCAGGUGGUAUAUCUAGAUCAGUGGUUAUCGUUGGGUACUGCAGGUGGUAUAUCUAGAUCAGUGGUUAUCGCUGGGUACUGCAGGUGGUAUAUCUAGAUCAGUGGUUAUCGUUGGGUACUGCAGGUGGUAUAUCUAGAUCCGUGGUUAUCGUUGGGUACUGCAGGUGGUAUAUCUAGAUCCGUGGUUAUCGUUGGGUACUGCAGGUGGUAUAUCUAGAUCAGUGGUUAUCGUUGGGUACUGCAGGUGGUAUAUCUAGAUCAGUGGUUAUCGUUGGGUACUGCAGGUGGUAUAUCUAGAUCGGUGGUUAUCGUUGGGUACUGCAGGUGGUAUAUCUAGAUCCGUGGUUAUCGCUGGGUACUGCAGGUGGUAUAUCUAGAUCCGUGGUUAUCGUUGGGUACUGCAGGUGGUAUAUCUAGAUCCGUGGUUAUCGUUGGGUACUGCAGGUGGUAUAUCUAGAUCCGUGGUUAUCGUUGGGUACUGCAGGUGGUAUAUCUAGAUCAGUGGUUAUCGCUGGGUACUGCAGGUGGUAUAUCUAGAUCAGUGGUUAUCGUUGGGUACUGCAGGUGGUAUAUCUAGAUCAGUGGUUAUCGCUGGGUACUGCAGGUGGUAUAUCUAGAUCAGUGGUUAUCGUUGGGUACUGCAGGUGGUAUAUCUAGAUCAGUGGUUAUCGCUGGGUACUGCAGGUGGUAUAUCUAGAUCAGUGGUUAUCGUUGGGUACUGCAGGUGGUAUAUCUAGAUCCGUGGUUAUCGUUGGGUACUGCAGGUGGUAUAUCUAGAUCCGUGGUUAUCGUUGGGUACUGCAGGUGGUAUAUCUAGAUCAGUGGUUAUCGCUGGGUACUGCAGGUGGUAUAUCUAGAUCAGUGGUUAUCGUUGGGUAUUGCAGGUGGUAUAUCUAGAUCAGUGGUUAUCGUUGGGUAUUGCAGGUGGUAUAUCUAGAUCAGUGGUUAUCGUUGGGUACUGCAGGUGGUAUAUCUAGAUCAGUGGUUAUCGCUGGGUACUGCAGGUGGUAUAUCUAGAUCAGUGGUUAUCGUUGGGUAUUGCAGGUGGUAUAUCUAGAUCAGUGGUUAUCGUUGGGUAUUGCAGGUGGUAUAUCUAGAUCAGUGGUUAUCGUUGGGUACUGCAGGUGGUAUAUCUAGAUCAGUGGUUAUCGUUGGGUAUUGCAGGUGGUAUAUCUAGAUCAGUGGUUAUCGUUGGGUAUUGCAGGUGGUAUAUCUAGAUCAGUGGUUAUCGUUGGGUAUUGCAGGUGGUAUAUCUAGAUCAGUGGUUAUCGUUGG